ACUAGGGCCGGCGUCCGCGUUGCGCGCGGAUUACAUGUUUAAUAAAAAUCAGGGGAGAAGUUCGAAACGGUGAUCAUUUUUUUAAAAAAAACAACUGUAAGUAUGAAUAAUAAAUAGUUUUGAGGAAUUCGAUAUUUGAAUGAGAAAAUAA